rnacentral:rRNA from 1 species
AUUGAACGCUGGCGGCAGGCCUAACACAUGCAAGUCGAACGGUAGCACAGAGAGCUUGCUCUCGGGUGACGAGUGGCGGACGGGUGAGUAAUGUCUGGGAAACUGCCCGCUGGAGGGGGAUAACUACUGGAAACGGUAGCUAAUACCGCAUAAUUUCGCAAGACCAAAGAGGGGGACCUUUGGGCCUCUUGCCCUCGGAUGUGCCCACAUGGGAUUAGCUAGUUGGUGGGGUAAUGGCUCACCAAGGCGACGAUCCGUAGCUGGUCUGAGAGGAUGACCAGCCACACUGGAACUGAGACACGGUCCAGACUCCUACGGGAGGCAGCAGUGGGGAAUAUUGCACAAUGGGCGCAAGCCUGAUGCAGCCAUGCCGCGUGUGUGAAGAAGGCCUUCGGGUUGUAAAGCACUUUCAGCGGGGAGGAAGGCAAUACGGUUAAUAACCGUGUUGAUUGACGUUACCCGCAGAAGAAGCACCGGCUAACUCCGUG